GAACGCCGUGUGCGGUGAAAGUCGCAUGCACGGUGUGAAGUGGGGGAAAAUCCGGAGAUAACAUCAAAGGAUUACCUAUCACUAU
rfam:Eggerthia catenaformis OT 569 = DSM 20559 genomic scaffold acdBZ-supercont1.3, whole genome shotgun sequence.